rnacentral:rRNA from 1 species
GACGAACGCUGGCGGCGUGCCUAACACAUGCAAGUCGAACGGAGAUAUGAUUUCGGUUAUAUCUUAGUGGCGAACGGUGAGUAACGCGUGAGCAACCUAACCUUCAGAGGGGGAUAACACUUGGAAACAGGUGCUAAUACCGCAUAAGACCACGACCCGACAUCGGGAUGCGGUCAAAGGAGCAAUCCGCUGAGGGAGGGGCUCGCGUCCCAUUAGAUAGAUGGCGGGGUAACGGCCCACCAUGUCGACGAUGGGUAGCCGAGCUGAGAGGCUGAUCGGCCACACUGGAACUGAGACAUGGUCCAGACUCCUACGGGAGGCAGCAGUGGGAAUAUUGGGCAAUGGGCGCAAGCCUGACCCAGCAACGCCGCGUGAGGGAAGAAAGGCCUUCGGGUUGUAAACCUACUGUCCUUGGUGACGAAACAAAUAGACGGUAGACCAA